UCUGGCAGAUCCUGUCUGGUUGGCGGCUCUGGCAGAUCCUGUCUGGUUGGCGGCUCUGGCAGAUCCUGACUGACGAAUGGCUCUAGCGGCUCCUGACUGACUAACGGCUCUGACGGCUCGGGACAGACGGGCGGCUCUAAUGGCUCGGGACAGACGGAUGGCUCAGACGGCACUGGGCAGACGGAUGGCUCAGACGGCACUGGGCAGACGGAUGGCUCAGACGGCACUGGGCAGACGGAUGGCUCAGACGGCACUGGGGAGACGGAUGGCUCAGACGGCACUGGGGAGACGGAAGGCUCAGACGGCGCUGGUGAGACAGAUGGCUCAGAUGGCGCUGGUGAGACGGAUGGCUCUGGCCGGAUGAGACGCACCGUAGGCCUGGUGCGUGGUACCGGAACUGGAGGUACCGGGCUAAGGACACGCACCUUCAGGCUAAUGCGGGGAACAACAACAGGGCACACUGGACUCUCAAUGCGCACUAUAGGCGUGGUGCGUGGUACCGGAACUGGAGGUACCGGGCUGAGGGCACGCACAUCAGGGCGAGUGCGGGGAGAAGGAACAGUGCAUACAGGGCUCUGGAGACGCACAGGUGGCUUAGUGCGUGGUGCCGGAACUGGAGGCACUGGGCUGGAGACACGCACCAUAGGGAGAGUGCGUGGAGGAGGAACAGGGCUCUGGAAACGCACUGGAAGCCUGGUGCGUGGUGUAGGCACUGGUGGUACUGGGCUGGGGCGAGAAGGUGGCGCCGGAAAUACCGGACCGUGUAGGCUCCCUGGAGCAUUGAGCCUGCCCAACCUUAACUGGUUGAAAGCUCCCCGUUGCCCGACCAGUGCGGGGAGGUGGAAUAACCCGCACCGGGCUAUGUAGGCGAACCGGGGACACCAUGCGUAAGGCUGGUGCCAUGUAAGCCGGCCCGAGGAGACGUACUGGUGGCCAGAUAUGUAGGGCCGGCUUCAUGACAUCCGGCUCAAUACUCAAUCUAGCCCUGCCAGUGCGGGGAGGUGGAAUAACCCGCACCGGGCUAUGCACACGUACAGGAGACACCGUGCGCUCUACUGCGUAACACGGUGUCUGCCCGUACUCUCACUCUCCACGGUAAGUACAGGGAGUAGGCGCAGGUUUCCUACCUGACUUCGCCACUCUCCCUUUAAGCCCCCCCCCCAAGAAAUUUUUUGGGGUUUUCUCACAGGCAUCCUACCACGUUGUCGUGCUGCCUCCAUACGCCGGUAUCCCUCCUCGCACUGCGCCAGAGAAUCCCAGGCGGGCUCCGGCACUCGCCCUGAGUUGAUCGCCCACCUGUCGAUCUCCUCCCACGUAGUGUAGCCCAGAUCCUUUUCCUGCUUCCGAGCCAGCUCCUCAUAUCGCCGCCUCUCUGCUUUCGCUGCCUCCAGCUCUGCUUUGGGGCGGCGAUAUUCUCCUGGUUGAGCCCAGGGUCCCUUUUCGUCCAAUAUUUCCUCCCAUGUCCACGAGUCCUGGUUACUUUGUUGCGCUCCCCCAAGCUGCUUGGUCGUAUAUUGGUGGGUGGUUCUGUAACGGCUUUCAUACUCUUCCUCCUCCUCGGACGAGGAGAGGAGAGAGGGAUCGGAAGACCAAUGUGCAGCGAGGUAUGAUGACAUAAUGAAUUUAUUUGAAGACGAACACGAAAAACACUUGGAAAAUUACAAAACAAAUAAACGAUGUAGACAGACCUGGGGCCUGUUGCACAAAAGUAGAAUUAAGACAUCCGGGAUAAAUGACUCAGCUGAGCUCAAUGAAGCCAAAACAUGUGCGUCCAGGCUUAAUUGGUUGCACAAAGACCAAGCCAGGAUGAGCAGACACGGAUUCAUUAAGCCAGGUGAAACCAAUCCUGGAUAGGUGCGCGCUCACGGCUCACUCAAAUAGACCCCGCCACAGAUCACAGAUUAACUGAUUUACCAUGGCAACUAGAGCCGCGUACUUUUCCCCGUCGGAAGCACAAAUCCUCAUGGAGGCAUACGAGGAGGUAAAAUAUAUAAUUAAGAAGAAAGGCAACACCGCCACAGUGAUAAAGCAAAGAGAAAAAGCGUGGCAAAGUAUUGCAGACCGCCUGAAUGCGUAAAAAGUGCACAAUUACACAGUCACCGCUCCGCUGAAACAUCACAAUUACAAUUCAAAUAUUUAAUUCACAUCUCCAAAAAUGCAGUUGUACUGUAAUUAUGAAACGGUUCAAUUUUUCAUUGAAAUGCACUGCAGAUAUGAGUGAAAUUGUGUAAAGUAACUCCAUCACACUGUAUAAAGCUAUGAUAAAUUUUUUGAUAUUUUUACUGAAAACAAGACAAAAAUACCUAGUAAUUUUUUGCAGUGUGACUCCAUUAAAUGUGUGUGUGUGUGUGUGUGUGUGUGUGUGUGUGUGUGUGUGUGUGUGUGUGUGUGUGUGUGUGUGUGUGUGUGUGUGUGUGUGUGUGUGUGUGUGUAGAUUAAACAUAAACGGACAUGGCAGCAGGUCAAAAUCAAAUACAAGAACAUUCUGCAGAAUGCAGUGAAAAAGAAUACCCACAGACAAGGCACGGGUGGUGGGUCACCAAAGGCUGACCUUACCCCAGCAGAGGACAUGGCCUUGGAGCUAAAUAAAGGCAGGCCCGUCUUAGAGGGGAUCCCUGGGGGGAAAGAGACGAGCAUAGGUUCCUCCCAAGAUGCCACCCGCUUCAUUCAAGUGUCUGGCAGCACUGUGUUCCUGUUAGAGCCACCAGCACAAGCACCAGACGAUGCUGAUCCAGUGAGUACUCCAUCAAAG